UACGAAGGGGGCUAGCGUUGCUCGGAAUCACUGGGCGUAAAGGGUGCGUAGGCGGGUCUUUAAGUCAGGGGUGAAAUCCUGGAGCUCAACUCCAGAACUGCCUUUGAUACUGAGGAUCUUGAGUUCGGGAGAGGUGAGUGGAACUGCGAGUGUAGAGGUGAAAUUCGUAGAUAUCAGGAAGAACACCCGUGGCUAAGGCGGCUACUCUAGUACGGUACUGACGCUGAGACGCGAAAGCGUGGGGAGCGAACAGG
rnacentral:rRNA from 1 species